GAGUCUUAAUAGGGCGAUUGUCACUGCUUAUGGACCCGAACCUGGGUGAUCUAUCCAUGACCAGGAUGAAGCUUGGAUGAAACUAAGCAGAGGUCCGAACCGACUGAUGUUGAAGAAUCAGCGGAUGAGUUGUGGUUAGGGGUGAAAUGCCACUCGAACCCAGAGCUAGCUGGUUCUCCCUGAAAUGCGUUGAGGCGCAACAGUUGACUGGACAUCUAGGGGUAAAGCACUGUUUCGGUGCGGGCUGCGCGAGCGGUACCAAAUCGAGGCAAACUCUGAAUACUAGAUAUGACCCAAAAAUAACAGGGGUCAAGGUCGGCCAGUGAGACGAUGGGG
rnacentral:ncRNA from 1 species